rnacentral:misc_RNA from 1 species
GAUGAAGAACGCAGCGAAAUGCGAUAAGUAAUGCGAAUUGCAGAUUUCAGUGAGUCAUCGAAUCUUUGAACGCACAUUGCGCCCGCCAGUAUUCUGGCGGGCAUGCCUGUUCGAGCGUCAUUUCAACCAUCAAGCCCCCGGGCUUGCGUUGGGGCCCUGCGGCUGCCGCAGGCCCCGAAAACCAGUGGCGGGCUCGCUAGUCACACCGAGCGCAGUAGCACAUCUCGCUCAGGGCGUGCGGCGGGCUCCUGCCGUGAAACCCCCCACUGUAACCCCAAAGGUUGACCUCGGAUCAGGUAGGAAUACCCGCUGAACUUAAGCAUAUCAAUAAGCGGAGGA